AAUACAAAACACGAAAUACGAAAAUCGACGCCCGACUGCCGAUGAACCCUUGCCAAUCCGGCAAGCGAAAGGCUUUCCACUCGAUUCCACCCUGAACACACGGCCGAACGGCCUUCCACCUUCAAUCAGCGGACCACCAACUCCACCCCCAUGAAUCCUCCAAUCCUCCCUCCGAUUGAUUCCAGUGUUCACUUCGAAUUGCCGCUUGUAAUCCCUUGAAUUGGCCCUGCACUUGGAACAAAAACGGUAGUAGUAAUAGUUUCUUCCAGUGCACAUAUGGAGUAAUCAUCACGAAACUGCUCGCCGGGUGGUCCGAGCUGACAUUUCGCAGUUGGCAGACUGCCUUCAUGCGAGGCGAAGCUACCUUGCCGGUUGGCUUCCAUAAAUCAACCGCGAACUAUUGACACAGCCCGAUGGCCGUAAAUCAAUGGGAUCCGCGGACAUCAGGUUCGCACAACGGCCAGGGCAUAUUCUAAACAAAUUGGCCCCAAAUCGGCGGAGACUAUAUCGAUAUAUAGGAAUGCAUCCGUGGAUUUUCCGGCUGCAAAAUGCGCGAACAAAUAAUGGCAACAAAGGCGCGGAAUAAAACAAUUGCCACAGUUUUAACAUUUGCCAUUUGCCAUAAAUAAACAUG